rnacentral:rRNA from 1 species
AGCAGCCGCGGUAAUUCCAGCUCCAAUAGCGUAUAUUAAAGUUGUUGCAGUUAAAAAGCUCGUAGUUGAACUUCAGGCCUGUCCAGAUGGUCCGCCUUAAUUGGUGUGUACUGUCCUUGGGUGGGUCCUACCUUCUGGCGAAGCGGCAUGGCCUUAGUUGGUUGUGUCGGGGAACCAGGACUUUUUACUGUGAAAAAUUAGAGUGUUCAAAGCAGGCAUAUAUGCUCGAAUACAUUAGCAUGGAAUAAUGGAAUAGGACGAUGGUUCUAUUUUGUUGGUUCUAGGACCGUUGUAAUGAUUAAUAGGGAUAGUUGGGGGCAUUAGUAUUCAAUUGUCAGAGGUGAAAUUCUUGGAUUUAUUGAAGACUAACUACUGCGAAAGCAUUUGCCAAGGAUGUUUUCAUUAAUCAAGAACGAAAGUUAGGGGAUCGAAGACGAUCAGAUACCGUCGUAGUCUUAACC